UUACCAGAAAGAUCCGCCCUUGGCAUUAACUGCACCAGGACACCGAAAGCCGCUACUUCCGGCGCAGUGUCCCCUGGGAAAUACAGUCCUCGCUAGCGGAGCCCCAGAACCUUGUACCUUCAGAGAGAUGCCGUCGCGCAACUUGCGGGAGCCCAUCUAGGGUUUGGGGGUGCGCGCUAAAGGGGCGGGUCCCUCCAUAGGGCAAAAGGUACUUCCGGGUUCUUCCUGCACCUCAGUCCCUGGAGCGUGCAGACACUAAGCUUUAAAGUUCCGAAUGGAAACACCUCUUAACUGCUUUUCUGCAAGACAGAUUUCAAUACAGUGGCAAUACCAAUAUGUCUCCUUUUGUAAAUUAAAAAUCAUGUAAACUUCAAGGAAUGAAAGAAGUCCUAAGACUUGGAUCCAGCUCUUACAGAUCAAACGGACUCCAGAGAUUUCCACUUGGCUGAUAGACACCAUCCAGGGAGCACGUGUGGACUGCGAACGGAGCUCUGGACUUGCUGAAAGCUGUCAGAAACCAGUCCUGCUGAUGUAAUGGUUCAGCUGGAUAGGCUAAUCGGAUGCCUCUGAAAAAUGCCCCAUUGCCCAGACUGACUAGCAUUUUCGGCCUUCCUGGGUCCUGACAACUGAUGCUCCAGUUUUAGCUGGAAAUAAUUACAGAAGGAAAUGUAUCGUCCCUGCCCCCUUAACAGGCUGAAAAUGCUAAGUCAAAAGUAAAUUGCCUUUGGGAGAACCUCUUUGUUUUCAUGCCUCUGGGGUAGUCUGAGACACCUUAGCAAAAAUAAAGCAAACCUUGUUGGACAGGAAUGGGUAAAGGAGGCAGAAGGAAGCAGGCCAACAACUGCUUUCAGAAUUUUUUAGACUGGUCCCCUUGGCUAACCACCUUGGUCACUGCUUUAACAGGACAACGGGUCUUCCUUUCCUCUUGCUCCUCAUAGGGCUUUGCAUUUCCAGUGCUUUGGUGACAAUUAUUCAGUCAAGAGUUAACACAGCUAAGCUAAGAACUCAAUAUAAUCCCUUAUACUCUGAAACAAAUAAUCAAGGAUUUUAAAAAUAAUGUAGAAAAACAAGGGAGGUGGUUAUAAGAAGGAACCAAACUGAAGCCGUUUUGAACGAAACUUUCGUUUUUAAUAGGAGUUAAAUAAAGUUUAAGUUCCCAAGACCUUCCUGGGUCCCUGACAUCCUGCUUGGCAGAGAAAUGAACUGCCAUCCUGGUUGGCACGUUGAGACAGGAAUGGUAGGUAAGUCACCCUGCCACCACUGAAUAACCCAACCAAUAGGACUAGGAGGAGUGUACAAAAAAGACAGGGUCCUGAAGAAGUCCCCUAUCCCUAAAUCCUGACUGGCGGGAAAAUGUAACUGUGACUUAGCACAGAUGUUUGUGGUUUUCAAGGUUCAAAGCUCUGUACCAUUCUGGCUCAGGGUCACAGUUCAACGGUCCUGAUUGGAUCAGUAGAGCCACAAUAAAUUUUUGUCAUCUGCGUUGACUUGGUGUUUGAGUCGUGUUGGAUUUAAACAGACCCCACAAUAGCUGGACUAGUUCAUAUUCUUACCAGCAGUGUAUAAGGGUUUGAUUUUGCCCACAACACCAUUUAUUAUUAUUGUAUUUCAUUCUGCCUGAGGUGGGGUGUAAUCUCAAUUCAUAACUUGAAUUUCUCUAAUAGUUAAGAGGGGUUGAUCAUCUUUUCAUGCUUAUUGCUCAUUUGCAUUUCAUCUUUCAAGAACUGUCUGUUCGCUUCGCUAGCCCAUUUACUGAAUGGUUCUUUGAUUUUUUUUGUUGUUCAGUUUUUGGUUUUGUUUUUAGUUCUCUUUAUAUUGUAUUAAUCCUCUGCAAAUGUAUAGUUAAUAAAGAUUCCCCUCUGCUCUCUA